CUGCUCACUCAGCCUUUGUCCAAUAUAUGAGAAGGAGAGUUGGUCCUACUGCAAAUGUGGCUUAGCUUCCAGGAAGACAGGCCUUUCCUGAGACCUUUCUCUAAAGAGUUAUCAGUUUCUAUGCCAAACAACUGCUCUUAUAUUCUGAAUCACAAGUCUGCUCCCCUAAGGACAUAUGAUUCUUCAGAUAAAGUGGGAUGAGUACGUCAGUCUGACUCUGCAUCCCAAGCAUGGCAAGAAUGCCACAAAGCUCAGACUCUGAAGAAAGAGCCUUUCCUUUGGAAGAAAGACCCAAUCUCUCCAUGCAAAGUUACCGAGGCCUGCGCAGCAAUGCACCCAGAGAGAUCUUGCUGCAGGACAGCUGGUCAAGGGAAAUCUGUCCCACACUAAUGAGAAUGCUGGUGCACUGCACAGCUGAGUCACUCUUGCCUAGUGACAAUGCUAUGGACUAAUGCCAACAGUGGCAUUUAAGCACUGUCUCUUCAAGAACUUCCAUUUCUUAGCUUGUGCUCUGGGCCAUUUUUACUUUGUGCUAUUAAGAAAAAGGGAAGAAAGUGCCUGAAAUACUUGAAACUUUUUCUUACUGAGAUGCAAAGGAAAAUGUCUUCUAAGGUAUUCUAAAUACCUACUAAGCAGCGUUUUGCUUUUGUAUCCCACAUAUGUUUGUAUUCUCCAUUUUGACUGUAGGUAUCUUUGGAAUAAAUCCCAUCUGCUAAUCUAUGUUGACAUUUCCUUGUAAAAAAAAAAAAGACCCUUUUUUUCCCCACCAGAUCUUAAGCAGCAUUUUCACUACACACAGCUAGGAAUGAAAAAGGUAAAGCCAUGUUCACAUAACAUUUGGUCUAGUGGGCAUCACACAGGAAUUUCCAAGAUCAAAGUGGAUUCACUGUUUUUCAAUUUUGUAGUUUUGUUUCACUAUAGAUGCUGCAAUGCGAACAGGUAUCAGCGUGAAACUGGAAACUUAAGGAUGGGAGGAAGUAAAGAUGUCUGCAGAGAAGGUCUGAGGAAGUCUGUACUCUUUCAGAUGUUGCAGGAGUGGAAUUCAUCUUACCUAACUUUCAGCACUUACACUGCAGAUGUACCUCUGGUUAUCUCAGUAUCCUUUAUAGUCUAAGGGAGGAAACUGGCAUUUCUGCAGUACAGCUGGCAUACAUCGCCUCUGCUUUAUGCAUCUUCCCCAGGAACUGCAAGCUGUUGUUUUGCUUUGUUUUUUUCCUUCUUACAAAGUGGAUCUCGACAUGUAUUCCAGAACUAGAGGUUGAGAAAGGGAACACCUAAAACUAAACAGAGAAGUCUCAAUUCAGUAAGGCAUAUAUCAGCCCCUCUAUAAUUUGGAAAAAUAUGACCAGGAUAAAGGAAUGUAGGCUUUGGAAGAGAGACCAUGAUACCAACUUACGUGUUCAAUGCAAGGCUGCUAUAGAUGUGGCUGUGCAGUGAUAAUGUUAAUAAAGUGAUAAAUAAAGAGGAAAAUAAAGAUGAUAAUGGUAAUUUCUUUAAGCCUGACGUUCCCAGCUCCUGGAGGAGAGAACAGACACCAACAAGGCACUGUCCAUGUAAUCCAGUAUAAACAUCGUGUUAGGCAGUGCUAGCACCAGGAAAAUAUUCUGCCUGUGAACAACAGGAAAACUAGAAAUAGCUAUGUAACAU
ensembl:lncRNA